GAUUGUAACAGAUCUUUGGUUUUUCCUUUGCUGACUGCUGAUCUGAUCGUCUCAAGUCUGGUGGCCUGCUGCAGAAGCUCUCUCCCUCUAUCAUUGACAAGCCAUUCAGUCUGUCCUAUCACUCUACCCACUCUAUCUAUUUUGACAAGCCGUUCUAUCUUGCUUCACUCUAUCCCACAAGCUCUAUCUAAGUUAUCAAAAAUCGCGUUUUUAACUGGAAUCAAAUUUUGAAUGGAAUCAAGUUUUGUCUGGCGAAAUCAAGUUUUGACAUGGCCCCAUUUUUGGGAAAUUGAAGUUACCAGUACUUCAUCCAUCUGUUAUAGAAUUCUGAGAGAUCUCUGCUCUCACUGCUCCUUCUUUCCUAUCGUUAAACUCUCUCACAUCCAGUCUUUUUGCUGGAAAUUACACGUAGAAAGUUGAAAUUAAAAUAGUAGAAUUACAGUACAGUAGAAACUAUUUACACAAUUUUAAUUUUUACUUGGAACACUUUGGAAUAAAUACUGAUAGUUUGGCUUAGAGGUGCAAUUACUUGGAUACAUUAUAUAAAAUUUACACCUUAAAGGUUUUUUGUAAUAAGAUAAACUUAUUUUAUACGACACAUUCAGACUGCUGUAUUCACAAAAAUAUUAAACUAGAUAACUUCAGAUACAUUUUGCUAGUCUGUUUCAUUGACUGUAACAUUUGACUAUAGUAGGUUUAUACUAUUAUUAUUUAGGGACAUUUCUGUUACUCAGUGUUCAGACACAAUUGCCAUCGAGAAGCUGCCCUGAGGACCCAGACUUCCUGUUUCCUGACUGCUGCAGAACAUCCAGCUGAAGAAUCCUCAUCGCCUGUCAUCUGAUCACCACAUCACCACAGCUGUUUAUAUUUGCUUUACAUUUUAGAUAUCUGAAAGAUUUACACACGCUCUACUUAAAA
ensembl:lncRNA